rnacentral:rRNA from 1 species
UACGGGGGGGGGCAAGCGUUUGUUCGGAAUUACUGGGCGUAAAGGGCUCGUAGGUGGCCAACUAAGUCAGACGUGAAAUCCCUCGGCUCAACCCAGGAACUGCGUCCGAUACUGGAAGGCUUGAAUCCGGGAGAGGGAUGCGGAAUUCCAGGUGUAGCGGUGAAAUGCGCAGAUAUCAGGAGGAACACCAGCGGCGAAAGGCGGCGCUCUGGGGCCGGGAACUGACGCUGAGGAGCGAAAAGCGUGGGGUAGCAAAACAGG